rnacentral:rRNA from 1 species
ACUAAGCGUACACGGUGGAUGCCCUGGCAGUCAGAGGCGAUGAAGGGCGUGCUAAUCUGCGAUAAGCGCCGGUAAGGUGAUAUGAACCGUUAUAACCGGCGAUACCCGAAUGGGGAAACCCAGUGUGAUUCGUCACACUAUCAUUAACUGAAUCCAUAGGUUAAUGAGGCGAACCGGGGGAACUGAAACAUCUAAGUACCCCGAGGAAAAGAAAUCAACCGAGAUUCCCCCAGUAGCGGCGAGCGAACGGGGAGGAGCCCAGAGCCUGAAUCAGCAUGUGUGUUAGUGGAAGCGUCUGGAAAGGCGCGCGAUACAGGGUGACAGCCCCGUACACAAAAGCGCAUGUGCUGUGAGCUCGAUGAGUAGGGCGGGACACGUGGUAUCCUGUCUGAAUAUGGGGGGACCAUCCUCCAAGGCUAAAUACUCCUGACUGACCGAUAGUGAACCAGUACCGUGAGGGAAAGGCGAAAAGAACCCCGGCGAGGGGAGUGAAAAAGAACCUGAAACCGUGUACGUACAAGCAGUGGGAGCUGAGGGAAAGGCGAAAAGAACCCCGGCGAGGGGAGUGAAAAAGAACCUGAAACCGUGUACGUACAAGCAGUGGGAGCCCCACCACUAAGCCAGUGGUGAACUCCACAUACGCAUCCUUUGCUGAGGAUACGGUUAACGGAGCGCAAGCGACGUUCAACCGCAAAAGAAGCAGAGGGGGCUUAGUGGUGGGGUGACUGCGUACCUUUUGUAUAAUGGGUCAGCGACUUAUAUUCUGUAGCAAGGUUAACCGUAUAGGGGAGCCGGAGGGAAACCGAGUCUUAAUUGGGCGUUAAGUUGCAGGGUAUAGACCCGAAACCCGGUGAUCUAGCCAUGGGCAGGUUNAGGGAAACCGAGUCUUAAUUGGGCGUUAAGUUGCAGGGUAUAGACCCGAAACCCGGUGAUCUAGCCAUGGGCAGGUUGAAGGUUGGGUAACACUAACUGGAGGACCGAACCGACUAAUGUUGAAAAAUUAGCGGAUGACCUGUGGCUGGGGGUGAAAGGCCAAUCAAACCGGGAGAUAGCUGGUUCUCCCCGAAAGCUAUUUAGGUAGCGCCUCGUGAAUUCAUCUCCGGGGGUAGAGCACUGUUUCGGCUAGGGGGCCAUCCCGGCUUACCAACCCGAUGCAAACUGCGAAUACCGGAGAAUGUUAUCACGGGAGACACACGGCGGGUGCUAACGUCCGUCGUGAAGAGGGAAACAACCCAGACCGCCAGCUAAGGUCCCAAAGUCAUGGUUAAGUGGGAAACGAUGUGGGAAGGCCCAGACAGCCAGGAUGUUGGCUUAGAAGCAGCCAUCAUUUAAAGAAAGCGUAAUAGCUCACUGGUCGAGUCGGCCUGCGCGGAAGAUGUAACGGGGCUAAACCAUGCACCGAAGCUGCGGCAGCGAGUAAUAGCUCACUGGUCGAGUCGGCCUGCGCGGAAGAUGUAACGGGGCUAAACCAUGCACCGAAGCUGCGGCAGCGAACGUAUCACUUAAAGCGAUUCAGCGGGUUACGAUUGACGGAGCGAAGCGACGUCAAAGCGUAUACAAAGUCGAGUCGGUUUAAGGAUACGUUCGUUGGGUAGGGGAGCGUUCUGUAAGCCUGUGAAGGUGGCCUGUGAGGGUUGCUGGAGGUAUCAGAAGUGCGAAUGCUGUUGGGUAGGGGAGCGUUCUGUAAGCCUGUGAAGGUGGCCUGUGAGGGUUGCUGGAGGUAUCAGAAGUGCGAAUGCUGACAUAAGUAACGAUAAAGCGGGUGAAAAGCCCGCUCGCCGGAAGACCAAGGGUUCCUGUCCAACGUUAAUCGGGGCAGGGUGAGUCGACCCCUAAGGCGAGGCCGAAAGGCGUAGUCGAUGGGAAACGGGUUAAUAUUCCCGUACUUGGUGUUACUGCGAAGGGGGGACGGAGAAGGCUAUGUUGGCCGGGCGACGGUUGUCCCGGUUUAAGCGUGUAGGUGUGUGUUCCAGGUAAAUCCGGUUCACUUUAACACUGAGGCGUGAUGACGAGGCACUACGGUGCUGAAGCAACAAAUGCCCUGCUUCCAGGAAAAGCCUCUAAGCAUCAGGUAACAUCAAAUCGUACCCCAAACCGACACAGGUGGUCAGGUAGAGAAUACCAAGGCGCUUGAGAGAACUCGGGUGAAGGAACUAGGCAAAAUGGUGCCGUAACUUCGGGAGAAGGCACGCUGACAUGUAGGUGAAGUGAUUUACUCAUGGAGCUGAAGUCAGUCGAAGAUACCAGCUGGCUGCAACUGUUUAUUAAAAACACAGCACUGUGCAAACACGAAAGUGGACGUAUACGGUGUGACGCCUGCCCGGUGCCGGAAGGUUAAUUGAUGGGGUCAGCGCAAGCGAAGCUCCUGAUCGAAGCCCCGGUAAACGGCGGCCGUAACUAUAACGGUCCUAAGGUAGCGAAAUUCCUUGUCGGGUAAGUUCCGACCUGCACGAAUGGCGUAAUGAUGGCCAGGCUGUCUCCACCCGAGACUCAGUGAAAUUGAACUCGCUGUGAAGAUGCAGUGUACCCGCGGCAAGACGGAAAGACCCCGUGAACCUUUACUAUAGCUUGACACUGAACAUUGAGCCUUGAUGUGUAGGAUAGGUGGGAGGCUUUGAAGUGUGGACGCCAGUCUGCAUGGAGCCGACCUUGAAAUACCACCCUUUAAUGUUUGAUGUUCUAACGUGGACCCGUAAUCCGGGUUGCGGACAGUGUCUGGUGGGUAGUUUGACUGGGGCGGUCUCCUCCUAAAGAGUAACGGAGGAGCACGAAGGUUGGCUAAUCCUGGUCGGACAUCAGGAGGUUAGUGCAAUGGCAUAAGCCAGCUUGACUGCGAGCGUGACGGCGCGAGCAGGUGCGAAAGCAGGUCAUAGUGAUCCGGUGGUUCUGAAUGGAAGGGCCAUCGCUCAACGGAUAAAAGGUACUCCGGGGAUAACAGGCUGAUACCGCCCAAGAGUUCAUAUCGACGGCGGUGUUUGGCACCUCGAUGUCGGCUCAUCACAUCCUGGGGCUGAAGUAGGUCCCAAGGGUAUGGCUGUUCGCCAUUUAAAGUGGUACGCGAGCUGGGUUUAGAACGUCGUGAGACAGUUCGGUCCCUAUCUGCCGUGGGCGCUGGAGAACUGAGGGGGGCUGCUCCUAGUACGAGAGGACCGGAGUGGACGCAUCACUGGUGUUCGGGUUGUCAUGCCAAUGGCACUGCCCGGUAGCUAAAUGCGGAAGAGAUAAGUGCUGAAAGCAUCUAAGCACGAAACUUGCCCCGAGAUGAGUUCUCCCUGAGACUUAAAGUCUCCUGAAGGAACGUUGAAGACGACGACGUUGAUAGGCCGGGUGUGUAAGCGCAGCGAUGCGUUGAGCUAACCGGUACUAAUGAACCGUGAGGCUUAACC